rnacentral:sRNA from 1 species
AACUUAGACCCCACUCCAAAGUAGAAAAUAAAAAUGGGACUGGAGUAUGUGGAGCUCAGUGGAAGAGCAUCGGCCUAGAAUAGUGCAGGCCCUUGGUUUAAGCUCAAGUUCUGGAGAAAAGGGAAGACAGCAAACUCUGUGAAUAGAUAAGCCAUGUUCCCCAGUGCUGUAACUAACCUAUGCUGGCAGCUUCGGCAAUCUGAAAAUCAUAGCCAUUCUUUGCAGAGAGCAGGGUAAGUGUUAAGUACAUGCUACCUGUGGCCAAGGCGACUCUGGGGCACUGGGGGAAUCUAAAUCAGUGAGGAUAAUCCAAGGAGACAGAGAAUUGUGACUGAUUUAGUCUGUAAUCUGCAGUGUAUUCUAGCAGCGGCCAGAGAGUUUUAAAGUGGGGACCAUGCAAAGGAGAACAGAUUGGCAGAAACAAGUUUAAAACCACACACACACACACACACACACACACACACACACACACACACACAGAGAGAGAGAGAGAGAGAGAGAGAGAGAGAGAGAGAGAGAGAGAGAGGUCCAUAAAGCAGGUGCUUAGGAUGUGCUGGGUCCUGAACCUAGAGACUGGGGCUCAGGUUGACAUUCAAGAAAAUGAGACGUAUUUGUUGGCUUUCUACCUUCCUGAACUACACAAGGGAAGAAUUUAAGUUGUGCUGCAGGAAAAGAGCUGCGUGAUCUCCUCAGGAUAAAGGCCUGAGAUGAUCCUCGGUGGUCCUCAUCAUACCUUUAAGCCAACCGCACUUUUCACUCUGUGUCUACCUCAUGGCCUGUGGGCUCCAAGCUGUGAAUGGGGCCUGACACGGCAUCGCAAACUCGCUUAAAAUAUUCUGAGUUGUUGUUGUUUGAGACUUGAUUAUAGCUCUUAAGCAUGAACUUGCAGAUGUCAGCAUUGCGUGACAAGGAAAAGUGUCUAAAGGUAGAAGUUUAAAAUUGAAAGCCAACCUCGGGAGGGUCUGUCCUGGCUAAAAGCUUGGAUGGAAGCCCCUGGAGAGCACUGCUUACCCACGCCUGCUACCCUGGGGCUUGCCCAUGUUCACGUCUCUAGGCUGCACCGGCCCUGCAUCAGCUCCUCCCUCUGGAGACAAUCAUUGUAAAGCACAAGGAAUUUCAAGUUCCCCAACUACAAAUGUAACAAUGUAACAGCCUCCUCCUUUACAUAACCGGAACAAAGUACUCAUGGGAAAAUGAAAGGAAGGAUAAGGAGUGUGAAAGUAUAGAGUGCAGAGUAAGAAGAGCACAGUUACACUUACACUUCUCAAUAGGUGUUCAAUGCUUAAGGAGCCAUUCCUUAACUACUAACUACAGAGGGUUCUUGACACUACAAAGAGGAUCAGCAUGUAAGAAACCUAUGCCCGACUAUCCCCUAGGAGCCUACAGGCCGAGUACUAAACUCAAGACACAAUUAAGUUCAGACGGGUUAAGUGUACUGGCUUGUUCCUGGCUGGCCUGCACACUGCCUUGUUUCUCGCCUAUUCUUGACUGAAUAAGCACAAGUCCACUUGAGGACAGGAGGUCACCUUAAACUGAUGAUCUGGGAAACUAGUUUGGCAGAUGUGAAGUGGGAGGUACUAGGAGAAGGCGGAGUACAAAAAUGCAGGUGUAUAUUAAAAUGAAAACGUUGUUCAGAAGCCGAUGGUGGUAGCAACACCAAGACACCGCAAAGGAAAGUGCCACCAAGAAAAGCAUUCCUUUAGCUGCUUUCUGAUGAAGGACUCUGAGUUUAAGACGUAUGAAAAGUUAGCCUCUAGUCCUCCCCAGGACUUAUUAGAAUUUGGAAAUACUGCUUGCUCCUUAACCCUGAAAUCAGAUAGUUCCCAAGCUUUCCUCAUUAAGCCUAAAACAAACAAACCGUCCUGGUUAAAAUCAAGCAUCAGGGAGAGAGGUUAAGAAAAAAUUUUUCCAGAGUACUUUCUAUUAGGGUUCUAGAAAAAGUGAUUAAGUAAAUGGGUCAGACAAUAACAAAGAUGGGAAGGAGAAGAUCUACAAGGGCCUGCUUUAAUUCCAGUAUUUAUAUCUUCUAGUUGAACAAUGCCAACUGUCGCUGCAAUGAUCCUUGAGUUUACUUCUAAUGUAAACCUUAGAAAAGCACCAGGAGAAGAUGCGGUCCGUCCAUGUAAAAAGACUGAUGGAAAGAGUUGGAGACAACUCAUUUCUGCACCAUGGAGGAGACACUAAGUCCAUAGGAAGCAUUGUUGAUGUUAAUCCAAGGGAAGACUUGAUGCAGAGACUUGGAGCUCAAGUUGAUGACAUCUGGGAGCAGAGGUGUCCGCUGAGCCCAGGAAAAGGGAAAUCUGAAUGGUCCUCCCUUCUGGCUGUCCAUUCAGACAUGGCCCAGAGUUGGAGGAAGAAACCUGCAGUCUGCAGUCCCAGUUCUGCAGUUCCCUUUGCAGCACCAUUCCGUGUCUGUGAGCUGUCCCAGGCAAAGCAGACCAGGUGGCUUUCAGAUUAACAGAAAACCCAGAAAACAAAACACAGCAGAAACACCCUGAAAUGCAUCUUCAUGAGACAGCCACACAAGUGAAUGACAGUUCUGAGCUGAUUCUCCAGCCUAGAAGUCCCUCAGGAGAUAACGAUGGCCACAGGAACUAAGAGCAGCACAGCCCUGCUACCUGCGGAGACCUGGGGAUUGUGUCAAUGACACACAGGAGGUGAGUGUACAUGCAUGCACAUGCGUGCUUUGUGGACAUGCUUUCUUUCCACAGCAAUGCCAAUACAUGCUGGAGUGCAGAGCCCAGCUGGGUCACUGUCAAACUCAGCCUGUGUUUUGGCUGCCUUCAGAAACUAAAGGACAGAAAAUGACUUCGUGGAGAGAGAGCACAGCGGCAGCCUCAGGAUGUAAACUCAGUUCAACUGAGCAACCAAGCAGCCGUCUGCCAGGUGCCCAGACCAGCAGAACUAGUAGAACGAAGACAGACACACACUAAACGGGGCAAGCACAGGCAAAGUGUGCAUCAGGGCCAAGUGCAGGGAGACUAAAGGGGCCUCUCCUGUUUUUUGGAGGAGGCGAGUCUGAAUCACAAAUGUUCAUGCUGUACUCUAUGCUUAGCUCAAAAUGGUCUUUACACUUUGCCACAUCUUUGACCUACUCCAAUCAGAGCCCUGGUCUCUUUCACCAACUCUCCUUAUAGCCACCAUUAGGUCCAGGAAGGCCUGACAUAAAGUUCCUAAUGAAUUGGGCAUCCUCUGAACCAACACAGUAAAGAGGGGCCUGGUUUGGUUUUGCAGACGCAGAAAAAAAAACAAAAACAAACAAACAAAAAAACUCUACAAAGUUCUUUAAUAGAAAACUGAAAUUCAUUCAACUUAAAAAAAGAGUACUAGGAACUGAAACAGGGAAAGAACACUAGGUAAAAAUUCUGUGAAUUGGUGAGAAACCCUUCCUGGCCAGAUAAAAAUGUAUUUUUGGCCUUUAGGAGUCACUGUAAUGUUUGCCCAUGGAGGCUGCGGCUACCAGUGGAGAUAGAGGCCUCUUCACUGUCAGAGGGGACCCUGAGAAAGGUAACCCCAGGUGCUCCGGGGCAGUUUCGGUGGUGCUGUCUCAAAUCUGAGGGAAGAGGGGAGCUCUGGUUUACCAAUCUGCCUCAGAUUAUCUACAGAUGUGACAGCAACAUUGGCCACGCAUGUGGCUGUUUUUCUUUGUGUGUUGCCCACACAUCUUCCCUCCUUAGCAUCUAAAUCCCAAGGCUUCCAACCACAGUGUGUCAGGAGAUGGUUUACCUGUGGAACGGCUUGCAAAGGUAAAUGAAA